rnacentral:ncRNA from 1 species
UCACAUGCAAUGAAGAGGUUAAGUAGACAAAACAACAUCGUCAACAGAGAACGGCCCCAUGGCUGAAAGGGCAGUACGAUCGUUUUGUUGAAAUUUCGCCUCGGAGCUUCGUGUUUGAACGGGGGCUUUCCCCCAGUAGAAUGCGACGAAUGGCCAUCGUUAUCAGGCUGAGUCUCUUCAGACUAGUUGAGUCCGCCUUCCGUGAGGUAGGCGGAGAAGCUGAGUGGUACCGCGAACCUAUCGCCUCAGCG